rnacentral:rRNA from 1 species
UGAGGAAUAUUGGUCAAUGGACGAGAGUCUGAACCAGCCAAGUAGCGUGAAGGAUGACUGCCCUAUGGGUUGUAAACUUCUUUUAUACGGGAAUAAAGUGAGGCACGUGUGCCUUUUUGUAUGUACCGUAUGAAUAAGGAUCGGCUAACUCCGUGCCAGCAGCCGCGGUAAUACGGAGGAUCCGAGCGUUAUCCGGAUUUAUUGGGUUUAAAGGGAGCGUAGGCGGACGCUUAAGUCAGUUGUGAAAGUUUGCGGCUCAACCGUAAAAUUGCAGUUGAUACUGGGUGUCUUGAGUACAGUAGAGGCAGGCGGAAUUCGUGGUGUAGCGGUGAAAUGCUUAGAUAUCACGAAGAACUCCGAUUGCGAAGGCAGCCUGCUAAGCUGCAACUGACAUUGAGGCUCGAAAGUGUGGGUAUCAAACAGGAUUAGAUACCCUGGUAGUCCACACGGUAAACGAUGAAUACUCGCUGUUUGCGAUAUACUGCAAGCGGCCAAGCGAAAGCGUUAAGUAUUCCACCUGGGGAGUACGCCGGCAACGGUGAAACUCAAAGGAAUUGACGGGGGCCCGCACAAGCGGAGGAACAUGUGGUUUAAUUCGAUGAUACGCGAGGAACCUUACCCGGGCUUAAAUUGCAGAUGAAUUACGGUGAAAGCCGUAAGCCGCAAGGCAUCUGUGAAGGUGCUGCAUGGUUGUCGUCAGCUCGUGCCGUGAGGUGUCGGCUUAAGUGCCAUAACGAGCGCAACCCUUGUUGUCAGUUACUAACAGGUUCCGCUGAGGACUCUGACAAGACUGCCAUCGUAAGAUGUGAGGAAGGUGGGGAUGACGUCAAAUCAGCACGGCCCUUACGUCCGGGGCUACACACGUGUUACAAUGGGGGGUACAGAAGGCCGCUACCUGGUGACAGGAUGCCAAUCCCAAAAACCUCUCUCAGUUCGGAUCGAAGUCUGCAACCCGACUUCGUGAAGCUGGAUUCGCUAGUAAUCGCGCAUCAGCCAUGGCGCGGUGAAUACGUUCCC